GACGAACGCUGGCGGCGUGCUUAACACAUGCAAGUCGAACGGAAAGGCCCUGCUUUUGUGGGGUGCUCGAGAGGCGAACGGGUGAGUAACACGUGAGUAACCUGCCCUUGACUUUGGGAUAACUUCAGGAAACUGGGGCUAAUACCGGAGAGGAGCUCCUGCUGCAUGGUGGGGGUUGGAAAGUGUCGGCGGUGGGGGAUGGACUCGCGGCUUAUCAGCUUGUUGGUGGGGUAGUGGCUUACCAAGGCUUUGACGGGUAGCCGGCCUGAGAGGGUGACCGGCCACAUUGGGACUGAGAUUCGGCCCAGACUCCUACGGGAGGCAGCAGUGGGGAAUAUUGCACAAUGGGCGGAAGCCUGAUGCAGCAACGCCGCGUGCGGGAUGACGGCCUUCGGGUUGUAAACCGCUUUCGCCGGUGACGAAGCGUGAGUGACGGUAAUGGGUAAAGAAGCACCGGCUAACUACGUG
rnacentral:rRNA from 1 species